GCCAACCAGCUAGCUUGAUUAUUAAUAUAACUUAACGAUUUUCAUAACAAAACAUGACCUAACACCAUAAAUUAAACCAUUUUUUUACCUGAGUAUGGGAGACAGAAAAGGUUCCACCCGAAGCAAUAGAAAAAGUACCGCAAGGGAAAGCUGAAAGAGAAAUGAAAUAACCCAUAUAAGCGCCGAAAAACAAAGACUAAACCUUGUACCUUUUGCAUCAUGAUUUAGCCAGCACCCUCAAGCAAAGAGACCUUUAGUUUGGAACCCCGAAACCAAGUGAGCUACCCCGAGACAGCCUAUAUUAAUCUAGGGCUAACCCGUCUCUGUGGCAAAAGAGUGGGAAGAGCUCCGGGUAGAAGUGACAGACCUACCGAACUUGGUGAUAGCUGGUUGCCUGAGAAGUGGAUAGAAGUUCAGCCUCGCACACCCCAAACCAAUAAAUAUAUCAUUAAGAUACUAAGGGAAAUAUGCGAGAGUUAGUUGAAGGGGGUACAGCCCCUUUAACAAAGGAUACAACCUUCACAGGAGGAUAAAGAUCAUAGUACACAAAACAUACUGUUCUAGUGGGCCUAAAAGCAGCCACCUAAACAGAAAGCGUUAAAGCUCCGACAGAGAGAAGUUUAUUAUACCGAUAAGAAAUCUUAUUCCCCUAAGUAUAUCAGACCAACCCAUGCCCACAUGGAAGAGAUUAUGCUAAAAUGAGUAACAAGAAGACCUGCUCUUCUCCCAGCACACGUGUAAACCAGAUUGGACCAACCACUGGACCUUAACGAACCCAACCCAAGAGGGUAGUGUGAAUAAUAAAAACCUCAAGAAGACCUCACACCCAAAUAUCGUUAACCCCACACUGGCGUGCUAUCUAAAAGGAAAGACUAAAAGAAGGGGAAGGAACUCGGCAAACACAAGCCUCGCCUGUUUACCAAAAACAUCGCCUCCUGCAACUAUUAAGUAUAGGAGGUCCAGCCUGCCCAGUGACUACGGGUUCAACGGCCGCGGUAUCUUGACCGUGCAAAGGUAGCGCAAUCACUUGUCUCUUAAAUAGAGACCUGUAUGAAUGGCUAGACGAGGGCUUAACUGUCUCCCCCUUCCAGUCAGUGAAAUUGAUCUAUCCGUGCAGAAGCGGGUAUAAAUCUACAAGACGAGAAGACCCUUUGGAGCUUAAGGUACAAAACUCAACCACGUUAAACAACUCUAUAAAAAAUAAGAACUUAGUGGCCUGUGAGAUUUUACCUUCGGUUGGGGCGACCACGGAGGAAAAACGAGCCUCCGAGUGGACUGGGCCGAAUCCCUAGAUCCAAAAGAGACAUCUUUAGGCCACAGAAUAUCUGACCAAUAAUGAUCCGGCUCAAAUGCCGAUCAGCGAACCAAGUUACCCUAGGGAUAACAGCGCAAUCCUCUCCCAGAGCCCGUAUCGACGAGGGGGUUUACGACCUCGAUGUUGGAUCAGGACAUCCUAAUGGUGCAGCCGCUAUUAAGGGUUCGUUUGUUCAACGAUUAAAGUCCUACGUGAUCUGAGUUCAGACCGGAGUAAUCCAGGUCAGUUUCUAUCUGUAACGCUACUUUUCCUAGUACGAAAGGAUCGGAAAAGAGGGGCCCAUACUCAAAGCAUGCCCCGCCCCUAAUUCAUGAAAACAAAUAAAUUAAGUAAAGGGAGGGCCAAAGCCCCUACCGCCCUAAAUAAGGACAU
rnacentral:rRNA from 1 species